CGAACGGGUGAGUAACACGUGGGUAACCUGCCCAUCAGAAGGGGAUAACACUUGGAAACAGGUGCUAAUACCGUAUAACAAUCGAAACCGCAUGGUUUUGAUUUGAAAGGCGCUUUCGGGUGUCGCUGAUGGAUGGACCCGCGGUGCAUUAGCUAGUUGGUGAGGUAACGGCUCACCAAGGCGACGAUGCAUAGCCGACCUGAGAGGGUGAUCGGCCACAUUGGGACUGAGACACGGCCCAAACUCCUACGGGAGGCAGCAGUAGGGAAUCUUCGGCAAUGGACGAAAGUCUGACCGAGCAACGCCGCGUGAGUGAAGAAGGUUUUCGGAUCGUAAAACUCUGUUGUUAGAGAAGAACAAGGAUGAGAGUAACUGUUCAUCCCUUGACGGUAUCUAACCAGAAAGCCACGGCUAACUACGUGCCAGCAGCCGCGGUAAUACGUAGGUGGCAAGCGUUGUCCGGAUUUAUUGGGCGUAAAGCGAGCGCAGGCGGUUUCUUAAGUCUGAUGUGAAAGCCCCCGGCUCAACCGGGGAGGGUCAUUGGAAACUGGGAGACUUGAGUGCAGAAGAGGAGAGUGGAAUUCCAUGUGUAGCGGUGAAAUGCGUAGAUAUAUGGAGGAACACCAGUGGCGAAGGCGGCUCUCUGGUCUGUAACUGACGCUGAGGCUCGAAAGCGUGGGGAGCAAACAGGAUUAGAUACCCUGGUAGUCCACGCCGUAAACGAUGAGUGCUAAGUGUUGGAGGGUUUCCGCCCUUCAGUGCUGCAGCUAACGCAUUAAGCACUCCGCCUGCGGAGUACGACCGCAAGGUUGAAACUCAAAGGAAUUGACGGGGGCCCGCACAAGCGGUGGAGCAUGUGGUUUAAUUCGAAGCAACGCGAAGAACCUUACCAGGUCUUGACAUCCUUUGACCACUCUAGAGAUAGAGCUUCCCCUUCGGGGGCAAAGUGACAGGUGGUGCAUGGUUGUCGUCAGCUCGUGUCGUGAGAUGUUGGGUUAAGUCCCGCAACGAGCGCAACCCUUAUUGUUAGUUGCCAUCAUUUAGUUGGGCACUCUAGCAAGACUGCCGGUGACAAACCGGAGGAAGGUGGGGAUGACGUCAAAUCAUCAUGCCCCUUAUGACCUGGGCUACACACGUGCUACAAUGGGAAGUACAACGAGUCGCAAAGUCGCGAGGCUAAGCUAAUCUCUUAAAGCUUCUCUCAGUUCGGAUUGUAGGCUGCAACUCGCCUACAUGAAGCCGGAAUCGCUAGUAAUCGCGGAUCAGCACGCCGCGGUGAAUACGUUCCCGGGCCUUGUACACACCGCCCGUCACACCACGA
rnacentral:rRNA from 1 species